rnacentral:rRNA from 1 species
AUUAGGCCAUGAGCGAAAGCUUGACCUAGUUACGGCUAAGCAGGGCCGGUAAAUCUCGUGCCAGCCACCGCGGUUAUACGGGAGAGCCCGAGUUGAUAAGGCCCGGCGUAAAGCGUGGUUAAGAGUACAAUCAACUAAAGCCGAAGACUAUCAAGGCUGUUAAACGAAUGUCGAGAGCACGAAGAACACUUACGAAAGUAGCUUUAACCAUCUGAACCCACGAAAGCUAAGGUACAAACUGGGAUUAGAUACCCCACUAUGCUUAGCCGUAAACGAAGGUAUGAACAAUACUCAUAUGCUCGCCAGGGAACUACGAGCGGCAGCUUAAAACCCAAAGGACUUGGCGGCGUUUUAGACCCACCUAGAGGAGCCUGUUCUAUAACCGAUGACCCCCGUUAAACCUCACCUCUCCUGGUGAACCCAGCCUAUAUACCGCCGUCGUCAGUCUACCCCGUGAGGGCUAAGCAGUAGACAAAAUUGGCAUAGCCCAAAACGUCAGGUCGAGGUGUAGCUGAUGGAGAGGGAAGAAAUGGGCUACAUUUUCUCGUUGAGAAAACUACGGAAGACGAACUGAAAACCACGUACGAAGGAGGAUUUAGCAGUAAGCGGGGAACAUAGUGCCCCGCUGAAACCGGCUCUAAAACGUGCACACACCGCCCGUCACUCUCCCCGAACUUGCGCACCAGCCACUCGAUAAGAAGUAAAAGCUUUUAUAAGGGGAGACAAGUCGUAACAUGGUAAGUGUA